UGACCCGUGCUGCCCUCAGGGGAGGUGUGUCCGUCGGGCGAGGCCGCUCGGGCCUCCCCGUGCGACAGCGGCGGGGCCGCGCCGUGCCGCGCCGUGCCGCGCCAGCGAGGCCCGCCCAGCCCAGGCCCGGCGGCGGGGAGGGAGGGAGGAAGGGGACCUCCGCGCGCUGCCUGCCCCGCGUCGCACGCCAUGGCGGCCAACGAGGACCAGGAGAUGGAGCUGGAAGCGCUGCGCUCUAUCUACGAGGGAGAUCUGUGCUUCAGGGAGCUUAGCCCGGUUUCCUUCCAGUACAGGAUAGGUGAAAGUGGAGAUCCCAAAGCCUUUCUAAUAGAAGUUUCUUGGCCGGAAACAUAUCCACAAACAGCACCGGUCAUCUCAAUGGAUGCUUUCUUCAACAACACAAUAUCUUCAGCUAUUAAACAAAGUAUAUUGGAUAAGUUAAUGGUAGAAGUUGAAGCGAAUCUUGGAACUGCUAUGACAUAUACACUUUUUGAAUAUGCCAAAGAUAAUAAAGAGUUAUUCAUGGAAAAUCAGCCUGUUAACACUGUGACUUCAGUAAGCAAUAGUAUUGCAAUUGGAACUCCUGAUGUGCCAGCAAGUAAGAAAAAAGAUAAAAAGGAGCAGUUAUCCAAAACUCAGAAACGAAAACUAGCUGAUAAAACAGAUAACAAAGGGGAGCUUCCGCGAGGAUGGAACUGGGUGGACGUAAUUAAGCAUGGAGAGAAGAUGACAGAAGUAUUGAAGAGGUGAAAGGAGGGAGGAACAGCUUGAGGUCUGGAGCCUUAAGAACAUGUUGUACAGUUGCUGUAAAGAAAAAGGUUGUAACUCCAGCUGAUGGACCUGAGGUGGGGGCUUCCAGGUGGUGUCAGAAGUGAUCACCACAAUGUUUUACUACAUCUGGAGAUUUUGAAGAAGUGUCAAGAGAUGAGACAUCAAACAUUAGCUCACAUUUUACAGGGAUAUUUUCAGCAGUGAUCUGCACACAGGCAGCAAGCUAAAAGCAAAUGGCUGAGGUCUUUCCAGAAAGUACACAAGAUAUAUCAAGAAUAUGCUCCACUUACUCUCAGGGAGGAAGCAUCUGCUGAGCUUCUUGAGACAGUCUUGCAGCAAGAGGUUGAUCAAGGAUUCAAGAUUGGGGCUCUCCAGAAAAUCACUGUUACUGCUUCAAGAGGAAAACCUAUGACUUGGAAUACAACCUGUCAAGCAAGCAGGCUCCAAAAUGUUUUGACAUCCACCUUGUGAAAACAGAGGUUAAUGAAGUAUGAAGCACAUCAGAACGUCACAGAAUGUAUCCAUGUACAGAAUGAUCAAUUCCAAGUUUUUCCCCCAAAAUGCUAAAUGUCAGGAGGAAAAGGAAAGUUUUUACAAUGGGGAUGAGGAAAUUCUGGCAUAUGUUCAGCAGGGUCAGGCUCUGCGAGUUCAGCAGCAAGCUGCCAUUCAUUUUGUUUGUCAGCACAAAGCUAAGUAGAACAUGGUGUGGUGGAGAAAACUUGGAAUAUCUCACCUGUCUGUAAAAACUGAUGAGGUUUUUCCUUUUGAGAGUAGCUGUUUGCACCCCCUUUUUUUUUCCCCCUUGCUUUCCAACCCCCCAAAAUAGGUUCAAAAGUAUAUGUGUGAUUCAUCUUAAUAAUACCUCACCAGUUUAUUAAGGGAGUCCUCCCUACAAUCCUAAGAAGGGACACUGUUUUCAGUGCUGCAGGAGCAAAGAAAGAUCCUCCAAACUUGCAGCCAGUCUGAUGUAGGAGAAUGAUUUCUUGAUACAAAAUCUGACCAUACACAUGGUCUAGAGCUUGGGAUUUGAAAACAAAGGAUUUUCUCUGCUCCCUCAGUGUACUGCCACCAUUCACCCUCUCUUACUCCAACUUGUCUCAGCGUUUCAAGGAAAGACAAAACACCUUCCCUCUCAUACAUCUGAUAUAUGCCUAGAUACACAGAUAUCAGUACCUGAGAGGAGUCAGUUACGUACAUGAGAGGAGGAGCAGUCUCUCUCCUGAGCUCGGCAGAUGAAUGCCAGAAGCAUGAGAUUUGCUUAUAUGUAUUAUCUUAGCACAGAACUGAGUGUUGUAAGCAGGUUGAUACAAAUCCGUUCUGUCCCCACUCCGUGAUACACAAGCAGGAAGAUUCAUAAAUUUCCAGAUUAAUUAGCGAGCACAGACCACAUGGAGGAUCCAGUCCUACAUGUCUACAAACAAGUCAGUCUGUACUGUAUAUGACUUCUUAGUUAAUGUAAGAUGCAAACAUAUGAAGCAGCAUAAGGGGAGAGGGAACUAAUUAAAAUAAUUCUAGGAGAGGUUUCUAGGGUAUUUCAUCCGUUGCUUAGAAUUCCAAGUAAAACUACAUACCUAGUGAAGAGCUUCUGAUAGAAGAUUCUUAUUUGUACCUGAAAGCUGGAUGGUUUCCUUUUCAAAAGGAGGAAAAUAUUAAUUAGAAAGAAAUGUCUUUUAUAAACUCUACAGUUUUCUUUCAGAAUGAAAGUUGUGAUGUAAAAUACAUGCCUGCAGCUUAGUGUCAUGGCUUAACCCCAACCUGGUUAUUUUUCCAACAAAACAACCGUAGGUUAUGUGUUUCAGAUCAACAAGUAAGCUUCUGAAAAAAAAAUUAUUUUUAACACAGGGGUGCAAGAGUUAUAAUUUGAUUUAUCGGUGCCACUGGUGAGAGCAGAAAAGUACGAUUAAUUCUAAGCCUCUGCUAUCAGAUUGCUGAUGUUUGCAAAAUUUCAGUUGUUUCAGCUGGUAAAUGUGUGGACUUACAUGGUUUGUAGGUAAGAUACCACAGAUUUAAAGCAUAUUUUUCUUUUCCACUGGAACUAAACUCCUUGUAACAAAGAGUCUCCAGGGUUUGAGAUUUGUGAAAUAAUGAAUAUUUUCUGAAUCGUGCAAACAAAAUGUUUUUGAGAAAAGACAUCAAACUUUAGGCCUCAAAGUAUCAUUCAAGAACGGAAAUCCAAGCGAAUAUUCUCAUCAAAAAGAAUAGUGUUUAACUAGUUCCUUAUUUUAUUUUAAUCAACAUUAGGUGCUGAAAACAGAUUUCUGCCUGGACCAAAACACCCAUCUCUCUUCUUCUCUGAAUUUGAAGGGAGUUCAGUUCUGGCAGGAACCUUGGAUCUUCCUCGUUUCAGGAUGAAUGUGUCAAGUUGCAGCUUAAAGCUCUGUUCUCAGUUAUAAUCAUUACUCAGCUGAGGACAGAAGGAGUGCUGGUCUUUCUGGACAAAUGAGCUUCUUCUCACGUUUCCUUCUGCACUUGGAAUAAGUCAUCCACAGAGAAAUAAGUAGGUGUUGAGACAUGGAGAUUAACAGCUGAAAGGUGGUGUUCAUCCUGAACUUGUUUGUUUAGCCUUUUGUGGUGAAGAGAUCUACCUUCAAAUGUGGAACUUGGCUGCAAAGAUCAAUGACCAGUUUUUGACUGUUGCUACAAACAAGCGAAAAAACACAAAUGGAAUUUGAGACAUUGUGGCUAUGCAGAAUUGUCCCAGUCAAGUUGAAAAUACCCAGAACUUUGGACCCCAUGGGAAAGGUGCAAGGAAAUUAAGACAGGAAAGGAGACUGGAGAAGAAAGUAAAACAAGAAAUGGAAAAAAAGGAACUUACUAGUGAAAAACAUAAUGCCAUUGAUCAGUACUUGCUUAGUGGAGAUGAAAAGUUACCAUUAUGAUCUGGUAUCAGGAAGGUCUCGAGUAGGUCACAGUGUGCUCAUAACAUGCACACCAUCUCUCUGAGUGCAGUUUGCAAGCCCUGUGCCAUCUCCGUCUUCUUGAAACCAGCACAUCCGUCCUCUUUCUAUACACUACUGCCUUGACCUACAUGGGCCACUAUCUGGUACUUCCCAGCUACACUGAAGAAGAGAAAAUUGACUGUAUCAUACUAUGGAACUUAGAAACCAGAGCAGUUAAAAAUUAUUGAAAAAUGAGCCAGAUGUGUACUGCUUGACAAUUAAAGAUGAUGCCAGUAGAAUUGGGUUUGGAGUCAUGAUGGAAAAUGGGAUAGAAGUUUGGGAUCCAUUUGAACACCAACAUACCAUUAUUCCAGGUUAUGAAAGCGUACAUCAUACUGUGAUUAGCAAACUCCAGCUGCUGGAGGAAAGGGCAAAAGCAGUCCUACUUGCAGGAUAUGUAAGUCUGUGGGACUUGAACAGUUGCACAGUAACAUCUGGUUUUACCACUGACAGCAAAAUGUCUUACCUAACUAGCACUGGACAGAAAAACAAUUCUUGUGGGUUUGAGUAACACCCCUGCUCAUCUUGAUAGGAUCAGAUGCAAAACCAACCAUCCAAUCCACUGAAAAAAGACUUCUUUGGAGAAGUAUCCACUAGCAGCCAGGAAGAACCUGAAGAAAACUAGACUGUCUGAUGAUUAAAGACACAAGUAGCAUCUUGGAUCUCUUAAAGACAGCUAUUCAGAGACGUAAUUGUUCACUGUGCCCAAUAAAAGCUGUGCACUGCGAAUAGGAUUCAGAAAGCCAUAAUGGUCGAGGAAACUGCUUAAAGUAGUUCAAAAGAACUUUUGACAGGUGAGGCGAGUAAGAUAAGAAGCGAGUAUCUUCAAGAACAGAUGCUUUACUCUGAAUUGCAGGGGGAUGCACAUCUCCAUUCAAGGAUUUCAACCUUUCUUGAGUUAGGCUUCUAUAGGAAACUCACAAAAGAGUAAGCGCUACUGCUUUCCUAACUUCAUCUGACUGGUCUAGUGCAGAUCUUCCCAACAUAUAUCUCAGUUAAUUUAUUUGGUCUGUGGCAUUCCACAGGUCAAACUAUACUUGGCUUGCCUCAAGUCUCCUCUGCAGAGACCAGCCAGGGUUGCCUAGCCAGUCCUGACAGAGGGAAGAUAUGCUACUUCUAAGCUAUAGCAUAAACAAGUUGCUUUUUCUUUGCCCACAAUACCUUUCUUUGCCGAGACUCACUGAGUAGACAGACUGCCUUUCAGGACUCAUACAUCUGUCAUUUGAGUUUAAAGCAGGCUUCAGCAAGCAAUAGCUACCAAUAUAGUAUUAGCUUUGAAAUAUACCACAGAAGAACUUCAGACAUACUACCUUGCGUGAUAAAGUAUCUUCAUGAUUUGCAGGGGCUUUUAUCAUUGCUCUGUUAGAUUCAGGUAUGUAUGAAAAAAAAAAAAGGUCUAGAUUAGAUUGCAGCAUUUAAAGCAAGCUGGGCUCUUAUAUGAAACCUGUGGUAUUGUUUCAGUCUGAGGUGACAAUGUCAAAGAAUUGCAGAGCUACUGGAGUUGAGACCUCUUAGUAAAAGAAAUAUGUAUGCAGACAAGAGGGAGAAAGAACUCUAAGCCCUUAACUUGCUGAUGUGGCAAUCACUGCAGUUUUGUCCCAAUAGACUGGUUGGGUUUUAGGGGAGACCAAACAGGGUGCAGUUCAGCCCAAUUGAGUUGAAAGAAUAGAAACCCAGAAUAAGACUUUAAGAAUCAGAUCUGUUGCAGUCAGAAAUGGUACAAGCCACAGAAGUGCCAGACUGCUCGUUUUUAAGUAUGAAUUCAGACAAACUGUAGUAGUUUCCUUCAAGCUGAAGUUAGAAGCUUUUAAAUUAAGAAAAAGUUUUCAAAGUUAGGAAAAGCCAUCUUUACAAAGGCCCACUUCAGCUCUAAAAGAACAUCCAAAAUGGAAAAUCCUUAGAUAAAUUCAAGGAAGAAUGGGGCAUUUCACUUACCGCCCUACCAGUUUCAGGACUUGUUGGUACCACAUUACCAUUUCUGGAUGUGUAGAUCAGUUAAUGCUCGGCAGGGAAAUGUAGUAAAAACUAGUUUAAGUACAGAGGUAUUGUUGUGCUUUUUAGCAAUCAACAGGUGUGAACAUACAACAGCAUGCAGAAGACUACACUUAAAAGAAUUUGUACCUAUCAUGGCUGGUAAUUAACUGUAUUUGGAUUCAGGCAGCUUACACAGCAGAAUAAAGUAAUACACAGCAACUGGAGGAAGCCUGUAUUACUCUUGUGUACUAUUCCAGACGUGCCAGAAUUCCAGAACCCCCUAAAAAAGCAGUAACUGCUAGAGAUAGCAAGAUGGCCUUAUAAUAUAGACAGCAAAUAUUAUUAAAUUGCUAUUUUUGCUUUCCAAACAGCAAUCUUUCUAUUAGGUGUAUUUUUUGUUUUGCUUUAAAGUUUGGUUUCAUUAAAUUAUUUUUUUGUCAAGAUUAAUCAAACUGGUCCAUGGGACAAUGAUCAAGAAAUACUCUUGCUCUGAUACCAUUCCUUUUAAAUAGUUCACGGGGACCUUUUGCAGCUGAUGAACUUGCAUUACUUCAAAACUGAAAGGCAAAAAGCAAGAACCUGGAAGUGCACCAUAUUUUUGUAACCUUCAAGAAAACAAAAUGUAACCUACGCUGAAUUAGGAUGUAGCAUUAAUUUGCACAAAGAGGAAGCAGCUUCCUGUGUGUUAUAUACACGUCUAUCAACUUCCAAAGUGUUUGUUGCCCAGAUAUUUUUUUUUUUUUUUUUUUUGCAAAAAGCUAGACUUACUUCAUGACAGUCAAUACAUAUCUUGAAGAUGAACUGGUUUAACAGUGUUUACUUUUAAUUUUCACUUCGCUAGUGAGGUUCAUCCCUUUAAGAAAAGGAACUCAACAUUAAGAAGCAACGUAGGAGUUCUCUACUUACCUUUCUGAUUUCAUACUAGCAUCUUAUGUGCGUCUUCAGCAAUUACCAUUGAUCUUCCAUGAAAACAGAUGCAAAACCACAAAAUGUGGGUUUGGUUAAAAAAGGUGGUGAAAUGCUAAAUGCCAGAUAACAUCAGAUCUUUUCUCAUGUAUGUUUUAACAACAAAUUAGCCAGAGUGUUUAAGAGCUAAUUUUAGAUGCACCCAUGUAUAUUUAAGGCACACUGCUAAUCUGCUUAUUAACUGAGUUAUUUCUGCAUUUGAGCAAUUUCAUGUAUUAGGCAAGCAAGUGCCGUUUCCCCAGCAA